rnacentral:misc_RNA from 1 species
AAGGAGUCGUCUUCGUAUGCGAGUGUUCGGGUGUCAAACCCCUACGCGUAAUGAAAGUGAACGAAGGCGAGAGCUUCGGCGCAUCACCGACCGAUCCUGAUGUUCUCGGAGGGAUUUGAGUAAGAGCAUACGGGGCCGGACCCGAAAGAAGGUGAACUAUGCCUGUAUAGGGUGAAGCCAGAGGAAACUCUGGUGGAGGCUCGCAGCGGUUCUGACGUGCAAAUCGAUCGUCAAAUAUGGGCAUAGGGGCGAAAGACUAAUCGAACCUUCUAGUAGCUGGUUUCCGC